AUUGAACGCUGGCGGCAGGCCUAACACAUGCAAGUCGAACGAGUGGCGGACGGGUGAGUAAUGUCUGGGAAACUGCCUGAUGGAGGGGGAUAACUACUGGAAACGGUAGAUAAUACCGCAUACCAUCGGAUGUGCCCAGAUGGGAUUAGGUAGUAGGUGGGGGAACGGCACACCUAGGCGACGAUCCCUAGCUGGUCUGAGAGGAUGAACGUCCAGAUUGGAAGUGAGACACGGUCCAGACUCGUGAGGGAGGCAGCAGUGGGGAAUAUUGCACAAUGGGCGCAAGCCUGAUGCAGCCAGGCCGCGUGUAUGAAGAAGGCCUUCGGAUUGUAAAGUACUUUCAGCGGGGAGGCGUUAACAGCAGAAGAAGCAACGGCUAACUCCGUGCCAGCAGCCGCGGUAAUAC
rnacentral:rRNA from 1 species